UACGUAGGUCCCGAGCGUUGUCCGGAUUUAUUGGGCGUAAAGCGAGCGCAGGUGGUUUAUUAAGUCUGGUGUAAAAGGCAGUGGCUCAACCAUUGUAUGCAUUGGAAACUGGUAGACUUGAGUGCAGGAGAGGAGAGUGGAAUUCCAUGUAUAGCGGUGAAAUGCGUAGAUAUAUGGAGGAACACCGGUGGCGAAAGCGGCUCUCUGGCCUGUAACUGACACUGAGGCUCGAAAGCGUGGGGAGCAAACAGG
rnacentral:rRNA from 1 species